rnacentral:lncRNA from 1 species
CACUCAUUCACCAGUCACAGCUGACAGACAGCAUCUGCUUCUUUCACCUUUAUCUUUGUAAGUAUCUUUUAUUUCUGAAUCGCACCAUCACAGUAAGAGUUGCUUCUGUGUGUACUGCUGUACCUGCUCCAACUCUCUAACGCGUUUUCAUCAUAUGUUUUAGGAGACACUGAACCAACAGGUACUGCCAAAGCUUUUCUUUUUCUCUUUUUUAAUUGCUUUGUAUCCCAUGUAUUGACAUGAUUAUUGUGACCUUGAAUGUUAUGAUGAUUGUUACACAAGCAUAUUGACCUGUGAUCUCGGUCUGUUCAAUUCAUUAUUUUAAUCCUGACAACGGUCAGACUGUCCUUUGGGUGUUCAUAGUGUGUGAAAUGCACGUUUUCGCUUUUAUCCACAGAGUAACAACAUGUGCAGGCUGAUUCUGACUGCAGGUAAGAAAAACUGAUCAAGUACAUGCUUCAUUAAGGGGUUCACUAAACUCCAAAAUCUCCUAUUCCCCUUUAAUGGGAUCCAUUUAAGUUUGUUCAACCUGUGGCAAUGAGCACAAUGCUCCCUCUGUCACACUACAGAUAGUAGAAAGGGAUUCUGGGCAAACAGUGCCUUGCUUAAAAAGAAGUAAUUAACUAACACGGACAGGUCUAGAGUUUGACAAGAAUGCUGGGGACAUUUCUGUGCAUAGAAACAAUGCUGUUGCUUAACUUCUAACAUGUACAAUUAACAUGUAAAAUGAAUAUUCCAUUUAAUUCCAGCAUGUAAUUUCUUAGUGUUCAUUGUCAUGUCUUUUCAAGCCAACACUGACCAAGUCUUUCUCUUUGAAGGUCUCUGUUUGAUCAUCGCCAGCCUGGUGUCUUCUGACGAGGCAAACAAAUCUGGUGACAAAUCUGGUGCAUCCAGUGUAAAUUUCUGUAGCGGAAGGAGCGAUGGGCUUUACGCCUACCCACCUGACCCACAGCGUUUCUACCAGUGUUCCAAUGGGAACACCUUCAUCCUGAGCUGCCCAGCAUCUCUGGUCUUCAGCGCAAUCUCCAGGGUCUGUGACUGGCCCAGUGCCACGGGAACUUUCUGCAUUGGAAAGGCGGAUGGCAAUUACGUCAACACAAAUAACCUCAAUAGUUUUUACAUGUGUAGCAACGGCAGGACCGUCCUCCAAGACUGCCAAAAAGGUUUGAUCUACAAACCGAGCUGCAACUGCUGUCAGCAACCCUAAAGGGUUGCACAUUACCAUUUUCCAAGCCCUCAUAGGCAUUUCUUACUUCUCAUGAUUCUUUAUGGUUAUGUUACAAAAAAAAAAGAAAAGUUAGCAAUGGCUCUGCUUCACCAUUUGUCAAAUCAAUUUGCAAACCCCAUUCACGUGUCAAUACUGACUCGAUGAGAUUAAUUUCCGUAAUUUCUCUUUUGGCAAGAUCAAAUGAUCACACAAACAACUUGUAUGGUGUGUUUUGUCGAAUUGAUGCUUUCUUAGCGUGUGCCAAUUCUAGCUGUAUCUGAAUGAUGGAAACGUACUGAACAUGUCUUCGUUCUGUUCUCAGCCAUGAUUCGACCUGCCUUGCCUUACUUAAUAAUAGGGUUGCUGCAUAAACAUUGUCAUUGGUAGUGAACCUAUUAAAUGGUUUUGAUCUGUUCUCUAGUUGCUUCAUACGUAGCCAUUGCAUCACUGUAUUUCCUCCACAUGAUGAUGCACCUAUUGCAUGUUGCAGUAAGUGCUUACGUAUGUUAAAUCUAACCUCAAUCUCUGCUCAUUUGUAUACAUGCAUGAAAAAAUUCAUCUGAAUAAAAUGACAAAUUCAAAAUGA